rnacentral:rRNA from 1 species
GACGAACGCUGGCGGCGUGCUUAAAACAUGCAAGUCGAACGGGGUCCAACCUUCGGGUGAAGACCUAGUGGCGAACGGGUGAGUAACACGUGAGCAACCUACCCCAGAGACCGGGAUAAGCCAGGGAAACUUGGUCUAAUACCGGAUACUCUCAUCGGUUCUAUGGACUGAUGAGCAAAUGGGUUUUUCGCUUUGGGAUGGGCUCGCGGACUAUCAGCUUGUUGGUGGGGUAAUGCCUACCAAGGCUUCGACGGUUAGCUGGUCUGAGAGGAUGGUCAGCCACACU